GCGGCCGUGGUGACGCGGUAGCACGGGCCUCUGAUGUGCAAGGCGAUCGCCAGGCGCGGGUUCGAACCCCGUCGGCCGCU
rnacentral:tRNA from 1 species